rnacentral:misc_RNA from 1 species
GACGAGCCACACAAACGUUAUUCGGAAUUACUGGGCUUAAAGGGUGCGUAGGCGGCGCGGGAAGUUGGGUGUGAAAUCCCUCGGCUCAACCGAGGAAUGGCGCUCAAAACUGCCGUGCUUGAGGGAGAUAGAGGAGUGCGGAACGUAGGGUGGAGCGGUGAAAUGCGUUGAUAUCCUAGGGAACACCGGUGGCGAAAGCGGCACUCUGGAUCUCUUCUGACGCUGAGGCACGAAAGCUAGGGUAGCGAACUCG